rnacentral:rRNA from 1 species
UNCCACGUGUAGCAGUGAAAUGCGUAGAGAUGUGGAGGAAUACCGAUGGCGAAGGCAGCCCCCUGGGAUAAUACUGACGUUCAUGCUCGAAAGCGUGGGUAGCGAACAGGAUUAGAUACCCUGGUAGUCCACGCCCUAAACGAUGUCAAUUAGCUGUUGGGGCACUUGAUGCCUUAGUAGCGAAGCUAACGCGUGAAAUUGACCGCCUGGGGAGUACGGUCGCAAGAUUAAAACUCAAAGGAAUUGACGGGGACCCGCACAAGCGGUGGAUGAUGUGGAUUAAUUCGAUGCAACGCGAAGAACCUUACCUGGUCUUGACAUGUACGGAAUCUUCCAGAGACGGAAGAGUGCCUUCGGGAGCCGUAACACAGGUGCUGCAUGGCUGUCGUCAGCUCGUGUCGUGAGAUGUUGGGUUAAGUCCCGCAACGAGCGCAACCCUUGUCAUUAGUUGCCACCAUUCAGUUGGGCACUCUAAUGAGACUGCCGGUGACAAACCGGAGGAAGGUGGGGAUGACGUCAAGUCCUCAUGGCCCUUAUGACCAGGGCUUCACACGUCAUACAAUGGUCGGUACAGAGGGUAGCCAAGCCGCGAGGUGGAGCCAAUCUCAGAAAACCGAUCGUAGUCCGGAUUGCACUCUGCAACUCGAGUGCAU